GUUACUACUAUAUAAUUUAGUUUGUUCUGGUUUGGAAAUGUUAAAAAUUAUUAAUUUUUAUAGACAGAACAUUGAGAGACCAUUUUUCUGGAUAGGCAUUUUGUUAAUAUGCAUGUUUGUUUUUCUCUUACCCCAAAGUUAGAAACAUUGGCUGGACUUUCUGAUUCAUUCCAAGCAGUUCUUCUAAAAGUAUUCAUGACAUAUCUCUGUACAGAUGGCUUAUAAUGUAGGUUUGAUUGUGUGCACCAGUGAAUCCUAGCAACAAACACAUGAACUUGGAAGGGGAUCCUUUUCCAAUUGAACCUUCACUUGAGAGCCCAGCCCUGGCCAUCAUCUAAUCUGGAUUCCCAGCCCAGAGAAACUGCUAAUUAACCUAUCUACAUCCUCCACUAUAAUGUUGAAAGCAGGUGUGAAGAGUGAACAUCCUUGUCUUGUUUAUAGUCUUGGAGAAAGUAUUGAGCCUUUUAGAUAAAUUAUGACAUGUUGGGAAUAAUUCACCAAUGAAGUCAUCUCAACUAACACAGGGCAUUGACCCCUGACAACAAUCACAUGAGGUUGGAAGAGGAUCCUUCCCCAGCUGAACCUUCACUUGAGAUCUCAUCCUUGGCCAUCAUCUCUAUCUGGAUUCAUGAUUCAGAGAAACUAGCACUAGUUCUUUUUAUUGGAAAAUUGAAUUACAAAUGGAGACAUGGGCCUGGAUCACUCCUGUAGCAUCUGUAUUCAUGAUCUUGACUGCUGACAGAGCAAAUAAAUCUGUGUAUACUGAUUCAUAUAUAUACUAUGAUACUACGAUAAUUUCAUUUCCCAGAGGAAAUCUGCUGUGCCUCACCAAUUUGACCUGCCUCUCUUCCAAGCCCCUGAAUGUUCCCUGAAAUGCCACUAGUUCAAUAGGACAAGAAGUACAAAGAUUCUUCUGGGAGCUACAAGGCUUGAAAUAACUUACCAAUGAAGAAACCUUGAACUGGACAUCCAAUAACCAACAGAAGCUUGGACAUGGGUCCUUCCCCAGAUGACCCUGUGUGUUUUAUGGAGGAGAAUGUAGUUUACCUUAAUGAGUGAUUUAUGUGGGCUUGAGAAGACUCCGCAUUCUGCCCAUUGUUGGAUAAAGUCUUCUGUAGAUGUCAUUUAUAUCAAGUUAAUUGAUUGUGCUGCUGUGUUCAACUGAAUUCUGCUUUUUUUCUGCCUGGUGGAUCUGUUUCUGAAAGAGGAGUUUUGAAGUCUACAACUAUAAGAUGCUGAAUGACCAUAGAAUGGUCUACAUUGAGUCCUUCAGCAACUUUGUGUAGUUAGUUGUAAGAGGAUCAGCUUCAGUGAUUGCUCUCAGUUGGUCCUUCUCAACUUCCAAUAGCUGGAGACUAUACUCCUCAUCUUCAGUGCCUAGGAUAAUUCCUCUGACCUCAACGGUGAAAAUACAGAGAUGUUGAACUAAUGCAUGGAUAAAACUAUAAGGGUGAAGAGAAAAGUUCCCCUUUAUCCUCUGAAGGUUCACUGAAAAAUCAACUGGCAAAAGGAAGAUUAAUAGAAGAAAAGGUAUGCAAAAUUUUACUAUAAAUUGCAUAGAACGAGGGAAUCACAAGAGGAUGACAACCCAAUGAGGUACAAAACUUUAUAUACCUGUUUCCAUGGAGGAAGGGGGAGACGUGGAAUGCAGACUGUUAUUUUAAGGGGCAAUAGACCGUUAAGGAGAAUGAACAGACCUGGGAGGCAGGAAGCAGACAUUAGGGGAAGGUGAGGUGCAGAGCUACACAGGAACAGAGGUUACGGUUUAAUGCAGGUUAAGUCCUCCAGAGAAUCUCUUGGAGCUGACCUCAGAAGAAAAGAUGGUAAGGGUGUCUGGGCUGGUGGGGACUCCCAGCCUCUUGAUCUUUCCUGGUUAUUUGAUGAGAUCCCUGGGGAGGACAUUCAAGAUCAUUGCAUUUCUUUUCCUUGGUCAGAUAAGGAAAUUGCAGAGAGAGGCUCUUUCUGGACUUGGGGGUGGGAGACAAGAUAAGAUUAGA